UUUCUUCAUAAAUAUUACGCAUUAUGAAAUUGCUAAAUUAAAUUGAAUAUCAAAUAUCUCCAGCUUAUAAUUAUUUUACAUAUGUGAAAAUACAUUUAUCGAAUUCAAUCGUUACGUGCCUGUGCAUAAUUAAAGCGCUUAAAUAAAAUGUUAAGCUAUAUCUAACAAAUUUGCAAACGAGAUCAUCAAAUUGUUAAUGAGAUAUAUUCCGCUCUACCAAUUUCGAAUUUAUUUUAUAAUAUACCGAAAAAAAAGAAUCUAAAAAUCUAGGAGUAAAAUGUGAUUAAAUCUGUAGAUAAAUGCAAAAUACUGUUUUUCGUCUAACUUAGUUUACGAUUAUUAUUUUUUUAUCUUGUAAAAGAGAGUAUUAGAGAAUAAUAUCGGGUAUGAAAUUAAUAAUAAAAUUCUCCUGACGUAAGGCGCAAAACGUGACAGGUAAACAAUCCGGACGGUUUCCGGAUACGAGCUCGGAAUAAUUUUGUUUUCCGGAGAGCUAGAAGAGCAAAACUGGCACCCUUUCUUGUUCCAUUUCGCUCUUAGCGUGUCCCCUCUUCAAAAUGAAGAGGGGGAUUCCUGGAUCGCCAAAGGGCCGCCUGCGGGGUUUACGACCCUCGAAAGGCCCUUGGCUAACGACAUUACGCGUCCACCGACGCGCCCGGUAUACUUUAGGAGCUCUCCAAUUAAUUAUUCCGCGGGAUUUCGCUCCGAUUUAAUUACGGUUCUUACCGUUUCGGCCUUCCUCUACGGUCUUUUUCUCUCUCUCUCUCUCUCUCUCUCUCUCUCUCUCUCUCUCUCUUCCUCUCCCUCUUCCUCUUCCUCCCUCCCUCCCUCCCUCCCUAUCUUUCUCUCUCUCUCUCUCUCUCUCUCUCUCUCUCUCUCUCUCUUUCUCUCUCUCUCUCUCUGCCGUUAGACUUUCACCUUAUCGUACUUUGGCUGCGCUGCUCGAUCUUGAAAGGCGAAGAUGUGGACGGAUUUCUUAAUUAGGUGAGGCGACGCGCCGUAGUUUAAUUUUCUAGAGAACCGUCCGUUGGCGUUUCUUCGUUCGUUCACCGAUCGUAAUUAGUUUCGAAAUUAUAUCGUUAAUACCAGGUGCUGUAAAUACAAGCGCGAUUCUGGCAGUCUUAGUAGUGCCGCAAAUGUUCUCCAUUCGCAAAGUUCAGGGAUAUUAUAUUGAACGGAAAGUUGGGAAAUCCAACAUACAAGUUAUUGACCGAUAAUCGAAUGGCGAGAUGUCGAAGACUCUCGCUGUUCCUUUUUAUCGAUUAGCCAUUCCCGUUCGACGUCAGGCGAUCAUCGGAAUCCAAGCGGAAGUCGUAUAAAUAAUUCGCGAGGGAACGUUUUCCUGUUCGUUUAGACGAGUCGCCUCUCGAUUAUCAUCGGGUCUUUGAUCGGCCUGGCGACUAAUUCGGCGAGAAGUCGGCAUAUGCCGAUAAUUGGAAAGCAAUCGCAAUGUAUUUUCCUCUACCUUUCGCCUUGAUAAGCGUCGACGAAGAUCAUCACCAUGGAAAACGUCGAGCGAGAGAUAACAGCCUUGUUCGUGAAUAUGUAGCACGACUAAAACGACUCCUCGCUAUGUUGAGGCCAUUAGCAGCAUCGGAGUUGUUUGCGGAUAUCGAUAAAUACGAAACGUGGGGACGAAACCUGAAGUCUCUAAAAGGACCAAAUAUAUGUGGACGAUUUAUCUUCUGCUAUGCACUAUGACAGGACAUCGUUCGAGACGACGUUCGACAAAAAUCGCAUUUCCGAUAUAUUUUCCGAAACCUUACAUGAGAAAUGAACAUUAUAAAAAGGUUGAAAGUAUCAUUAUAUCAGGCCGUAUCUCUUACAGAUACAUAUAUAUCUAUAUUAAAGAUAUAUAUAUGGAUUAGCAAUAAAGAUAGCGCAAUAUAUAUAGAUACAUGGAUGGUUUUUCUUCUAUGGUCUUUCAUAUAUAUAUAUAGAAAACCGGAAAUAGAUUUAUGUUAAAUUAGUUAUAUGUAAAAUAUAAAGAAAAAUUUAUUUUGACAUAACUCUGUAACAUAGCUUUAUAACGUGGCUUAUAUAAUAUAUUACCCUAGCUUCCUUGCUCAUUAUUUCGAUUAUAUGUGAUAGACCGAUGAUGGAUGAGCGUGUUAGACUUCGGAGAAUUACGGACAACUUGAACGACCGGGUCCAUUCCGUGGUUGCGAACGAUCGCAGGAACGUACUAACGGAACUCGCUGACGAGGGGUCGAGUGUCUCUCACUGACGUGGCAUAAAAUUCCAACGAUGCCCACCCUCCCCGGGGUAAUCUCUACGGUAAGAACGGGCGAUUUGCACCGAGCUGAAUAUUUCCCUCCGCGCUAUUUCCCGCAACGUCGUUCGUCGGGCUGGAGCAUUUCAGGUAGGGUGGUUACACGUUUGCGGGUUCUGUAACGGUGAUGACUAAGGGAGAAGCGUCACCGAGAUACACAGGGCGCAGCGCUGGGGCCAGAACGAGGAACGUUCCACCAGGUAUUUCGACAGCCACCCUUAUUUCUAAUUGCGUCUCGACUUAAUGGAACAUGUUUAGCCAGCCGGCGAGCUGGCGCAAUCUCGGACGCGAUUCCACCCCGAAAUUAAGCACGCGUACCGCCCUUUUCCACCAGGGGAGAAGCCGCCCCGCGAUGACCGUCCGCCGCAGCAGCCAGCUAUCGUUGCUACCUCUGUCGCGUGCGUGUUACGAGCACGUGAUCGUGAACACGCGAGUGAGAUUGUACGAGUCGUGUGCACCCUCGCUCGCUCGUUCACCCGUUCGCUCUUUCUCUCUCGGGGGCGGCAGCCCUUCUCAAAGGGACAGAAAUUCAUCCCGCCGCCGCGCGAUACGCUUCGCAGCGGUUGUUCCCCGGAGCGGUUCCUCUUUACGUUAACGCGAAAACGCGCUCCUCGUUCCUCGUGUACUUUGUGUCGAUGCCGUGGCAAUGCGAUAUAACGUUGCGAAAUCGCUUUCCCGUCGGGCACUUUUUGCGUAGACACGUAGACGCGAAACCCUUUCCGAGGGAUUAUUGCGUGGCGGACUUUAAUGCGAGCACUUGUAUUCUCAGAUUCGCGUUUGGGAAUGAAAUGUGCGUAAAUACUCGUUUGAGGUAGAGUCUGGUGUAACGAAAUACGAAAUUGGUCGUUAUAUUUUCUCGCAUGUCUCGCGUAUAUUGCAUCUCGAACGAAAAAGAAUUUACCGUUAAGAAUUAAUUUCUACAAUUUUGGUUGCAUUUCGAACAAAGCUAUUAUUUUGUAAGUGCUCGUAGGCACUAAUAGAAAAGCACUUUUAUUUUAUGGUAAACCGUAGAUGUUAAAUUAUUCUAAGUUUUUUAUCCACGAAAGUAUAAUUAUCAAAGGCUCUUAUAAAGUUAAUGUAUUAAUUUUUUUUUUUUUUUUUUUUUUUAUAUAUUAAAAAGGUAAUACUUUGCGUUCCUUUAUGAUUUCAUUAUAUUUUCGUUGGUAUGUUAAAAUUAGUUAGUGAAUGUUAAAAUUAGUGGCAUGCUUUACUUCGCCGCGGAAUACGAUGUAUUCCCAUGAAAAUGGCACUCAAUUUAACGCAUUUUAUUAGCCUCCACGCGAUGGGAUGGGCGAAAAUGGCACGUAACAUUUUAAUUGAACGACUGCCUAAUAAUAGCUACGCCUUGCGCUCGUUCCGUGAUCACGAGGGGAACACGAAAGAUGAGAAAUUCGUAGGAAUUCAGUUUCGUAAUAAUUAACGAAACAUGCUAUAAUAAUCUGGUGAUUGAGAGGCACGCUGAUUCCGAAUGUCUGUAUAAUUACCGCUUGUUCUGUGUGCUAUAAUUUAUUUCAUGACAUGCGCUUCUCCCUUUACUGCGCGUACACCACCUGGGUUUUCACUGUAAUUCGUAUUGAUAGUUUCAAAGGUGUUCAUUUCGUCGAGAUACAGAGACACGUCAAUGUGGCAUAUAACGAUGUAAAAGUGUAGAAAUAUCACGUAAUGGCAUGCUAUAAAAAUAGGGGGGAGAAAAAAGGAAAAACCAACGUCGUCCGCGCUUUUUGAUACCGGGAGCUUUUCGUACCUUCGCCGUGACGUGGCGGGUUCAUAAAUCAUUGCACCUACAGAAUUUUUUCGCAAAAAACGUCACAAGAGCAAUGGCGGCAUCGCCUGUAGCUAAAGUAUCAAUCGAUCUUACGGAGAUUCCCGGUAGAAAUCUGGUCCCGCGUACAAAAGCGGCGGGCUAAAAGGAGAAGCGCGACGGUGUAAUUUCCACUCUCAGUACGCGAAAGCCAAAGUUCGCGGGGGUUUGUUGCUACUUUUUGGCGGUCCUGCAAUUUGUUUCCCUGACUCCCGUUAACCCUGUCACCCCGGCAAAAGAGAGGAGCAAAAACUCCUUAUCUCGGCGUAAUGGCGAGAAACUUCGUGCCUCGUUAAACCGCCACGGAUGCACGGCCUGCAUGCCGCGCGUGGAUGAGCGCACACGUUCGUGCGAAAGGUUGGUUGCGUGGUGGCCCUUUGAUGCCGCCCAUAGCGUCGGAAAAUAGACCGCGGGUGCUCUGCGAUAAUGCCCCGUUCAUACCGAUCGCCCUCCGCUCUUAGGGCGCUCGGGUUAUUCAGAUUAAAAACGAGGAACUGACCUCGUUAGAUCGCAACCUUCUCCGCCGGGCAUUGAACGCCCUACAUUGUGUAUACAGGAACGUCCGCGUGUUUGCUACGACUCUCUCGCGAUAAAUACCGGGGAGAAUUAAAAAUAUCCUAACGAGAUCCUAAAGUCGUCUAUUUUAACGACAUUUUUUAAUUAAAUUAAUCUUUAUAAUCUCUAAUUGGUUUUAUAGAAUCGCUAAACUCUUUUACAGAAUUAAAGUACGCACCAAAAUCUCGGGGAAUACGGUCGAAUUAAUAUCAAAAACGAAAAAAAAAUUCAUUUUUGUCACUUGAUGACGAUAUUUACUUAGAUACAGAAUCUACGAUAUAUAUGUACAAAAUGAAACCGUAUUCCUGGGAUAACAUAUACGAACAAUACCGUGCGAUUCAAACUAAGAAUAGAAGUUUAGAAAAAAAAAUUUUGUUUUAUCAACUUUUUAUAACUGCAAAUUCAGAUAUAGAUUACAAAAAAAGCAGUCUGAAAAACAUUUUGUUUAUUCUGGGUAUAAAAUUUAGUUCAUAUGAUGAUAUUAAUACGUGUACUUUAAUUCUGGAAAAGGAUUUCCGAAUCUAUAAAAGAAAUACAUACGAAAUUUUGUUAAUGAUAUGCACGAAUGACUUUACAUUAUUACAUCAAGUUUAACGAGCACUUUAGUAUCUCCUUAAGCGCGCUAACAGUUUUCCUUUCAUAUCGUUAUAAUUUUUUAUUAUAUAAUCUAAAUGCAUGUGCCGGAUUAAUUUCUUUCUUAUUUAGUAGUCGCUUUAUUACAAGGAAAUGGCUCGUCAGUGGCAAGAUGCAUUUUUCUAAACUAUAUAUUUUAUACGGAUUCUUGAGUUGCUGAAUUGUCACGCUUUAAGUGUCUUGGGAAUGUGCUGUGUCUCGGAAAAUAUUAGAUUCAAUUUACUAACGUCAUCGUAGAAAACUUGUUGAUCCUUUUCGUUUGGCUUUUGGUAUUAUAUACCUCCGUACGGAGGAUCGUAAGUGAGAGAAUAGGAAUUCUCAGUAGCCCAGAAUGGACGAGUACAAAUACGGGUCUCCUGACUCGUAUAAAUGUAGAUAAUGCUUGCUACAUCGUUUUCCUCUCUAUCGGUCCAUUUAGCUAAAAGCCACAAUCUCGUGCGCGGAUCUUAAUUACGUUAAAGAUCGCAGCAUGACAUGUUGGCCGUAUCAAACGGAUUAUCAUUCUUUCCUCCGUUUUAUAGAUUCGUGCUACUUGGCAUGCGUGUCCAGUAAACAGAAUUUGCUUUGGAUAAAUUGCCCGACAAGUCUAAAGCAUUUUGAUACCCAUAACGUUGUUACUCGCGAUCAUUUUCAAUUUACUGAUUGCUAUUUAUUUUGCUAAUUGCGGUAGUAUCAAUUUCGAUAUUUUAUCUUAUUGCCACGCCGCCCGUGCUCGUGGAGGUGGAGGGGGAGGGCGAGGGGCGAGCUGCAAAAUUACCGGCCGAUCUCGUCGAAAUCCCGAACGAACGAGAACGCUCGAAUUUCGCAUGAAAUCACCGGAACGCCGCGGCGCAACUGCAAUAAUACCGAAUGACCCGGGGAAUCGAUUUUCGAUUUGUUUAUCCCGCAGUCGCCGUGUGUGUUGUAUGCACGUAUGCGCGACACGGCGUGUGGCCCGGGGAACGCUAAGGGAUCCCUUUCCAGGAGACUAUGCGCCGCCGGGAAAAACACUCGUCGGGUUUACGCCGUGAAAAAGCACGGCGGGGCUCACUCGGCGUGGAAGCUUUACGAAGCUAAUCGAUGCUAACGACGCUUUAAUCGUACUACCGCCGCCGCUGCCGACUCGCGUUUUACUACGCUCUCGAGCCGGCGCGCUCGAGAAUUUUGGCACGAGCAAUGAGAUCCAGCUCGAAUUACCGGAUACAUCGAUCCGGCUCGCCGCUCCAAAUAACCGGGCGGAAGUAUAGCUUUUCUCUCUCUCUCUCUCUCUCUCUUUCUCUUUCUUUUCUCCUCCUCCUUCUCUACUCGUCCGCUCUCGUUCCCUUCGGUUGUUUCGCCGACUACGAUUAAUUAAAGCGCGCGCGGGGGUUGAAAUCCAACAGGACCGGUCGGGUCGAGCAGCCGUCGCCGCUUUUUUUUUUUUCCAGGAAAAUAUUCAUCGCGCGAUAUUUCCAAUAAUUCGCCCGGCUCGCGACUUCGUUUGUAUUUAUCGUAUAAAUAUGCAUGUAUAAAACUCGCUGGCGCGAUAUAUGAACAUACAUCAGAAAGCGCGCGGUGCAAAGGUGUUGAAAAAAAUCAUCCGACUUACUUUCACAGAAGUUGACGUUACGACCCCGUUAUCAGGGUCGAAAGCGAAUCAACGUCACGUUUUUAUGUCACGCGGUCCACUUCCUCAGGGGGGGGGGAUUCAAUGCCGCCGGGGUAAUCCAUGAGGUUUAUCCCGAAGCAUUGAACAUUACCGCGAGGCUUUUCAGAGGCGUUGUAAAUGUUUACAUCUCGCACAUUCAUGGCCUCCACCUUUUCUCCCUGUCGUUCCCGCUAAACUCGUGUAAUUAUAUGACAGCCACGACUUUGUUCGCGCCUACGAACAACACCGUGAACAUCGCGCGCCGAGCAGCGCUAAUGACAGUAAUAACGGAUGUAACGAGUUUAAACAAUUCCGCUUCACCGAGUGGUGUCGAGCUACUUCCGCCGUCGCCAUUUUCAUGGGGACAAAACCUUCCUGCGUUCACGCAGUCGGUGUUACCGGUUAUACGGCAGUACUAAUGAUCUGCGUACAGAAAUAUUGCAUCGCUAUUCAUUCGACGAAACAAAAUGAAACAGAAUGAAAUAAUAAUUGUAGAAUAUUUCAUUACUUUAUUUUUAUCAUUAUAUGAUUACAAUAUGAAGUUAAAAAUUUAUUAAAUGAAAAAUUUAAUAAUCUUACAUUUCGCGCUUGUCUUAUUCGCUUUAAAAACAGAAUGCUCUAUUAUUUAAAAUCACAUCUUUCUUGUCUCUUACAUUGAAAUGCUCAUAAUUUAAAGUUAUAAAUUUAGAGUCGGGAAUAAGAUUCACAUCGAUACCAUAAAAAUAUUUUCGUGGAAAAUUCUGUGGCGCACAAUGCAACAGAAGUUUAAUUAACGAUUGAAGCACGUUCUUGAAUUUGAAAACUGUUCAUUUCGGAGUAUUUCGAUUGGACCUCAAGCUAAAAUAAUAAAACUCUAUUCUAUUUUCACUACGAAUGAACAUCCUGUUUACGCGUGAAAUCUCUGACUGAGAUAACGAUAAAGGAGAUAGUCCUUUCGCGUUUCGUACACGGCCGAGAUUAUUCGUCGUGGGGAACGAGCGAGGUACGUAACUCGGCUGAAAAACUCGUAAACAUAGUCUGCUGCUCUCCCUGGCCCGCGGAACCGCAUGGUGUGCGGCCGCUCGGGUCCAUCGCAUAAACCAGCGUUGUCUCCGUGAAACCGGCGCUAGCCGGCGUAAUUUUUCUCACUUUGCAAGUUGCCCCGUAAAUAAUACCGGAGCGCGUGGCCUUCGCGCCCGCACACUCGAGCAACCUCCGUCUUCUUCCCUUCGCAGCCUCGGGUACAGUUUCUCUUUCUCCUCCUUCUUCUCCUUCCUGCUCCUCUCCUUCAUGGUCUGGCGACAUACUCUUGGAACCGCAUCGUAAUCCCCGACACUCGUAAGUUCCAGACAACCGCGAACUCCCGUCCUACGUUACAAUUUGCCGCGAGCCGCAGUGAGAGCGCGUGAAUCCCACCGAUAUUUACGGUAAUGCAAUAGCCGGUCUAUCGGUCAUGAUAUUACCUGGCGAGGUCGGUUGACCGCGGGAUAAGUUGAGAUAUCAAGAUCGACAACGGGCUUUUAGGAAGAAUUUCUGGGUUCACGAACGAAAUAUAUAUUGAUCUUUGAGUAAACUUGAGUUUACUUUGAGUUAAGUAAAAUAAUGCGGUUUAAAGAACGGCUGUUCAUCUGUGCGAAGAAGAAAGAAAAAAGAAGUGUACAGAUAUAUUUACUUGUAGAUUGAAACAAGAGAUUUUUCCGUGUUUUACGAUUCGCUACAAUGUUUAAUCGGCAAACGAGUAUCGUCCGCUACAGAGAUAAUUAAAAUAAAUCAUCUCGCGUUCUUUUUCACCCGAAAAAUCACCUCAUUUUCUUGCUGGAGCAAGAACACAUAUUAUAAAGAGAUCGUUAUUACACGUACAAUUUUUCUGGGGGGUUUUUCGCGCACACGCAAAGCUGCACUUUUCACCCUCGCACGCGCGAUGCAGUGCAUACUACUUUCUCUCGCCAGGUUAUUUCCUAAGAGACCCUUGCCGCUUUUCCCCAUGUUUCCGCGAAACCUGUACGAUUUUACCCUCGUCGACAGGGAGGAAACGGGGAAAAUGCGAAUGCGUCGGGCAGCCCGGACCCGCCCGAACGUAAUUUCAAUCAGCUGUUUGCGUACACACGUCGGGUUGCAUAUUUCCGACACGGUCGGUGGGCCAACGGCUGGUGCGCGUCGUAUGCACUCGCUCCGCGAUGCAUUUUUCAUGGCGGCGACGGUGGGGAAGGGUCGGGAAACGAUAGAGCCUGCGGCCUCUGGAUUAUCCACCGCUGACGGAUGGACGCCGGCGUCCAGCCGGCUUGAUUGGUGUCCGCCGUGUCUGCGCGUCGAGAUUCCGCGGACGAGCAAAUAUUUUAUAAGCGCGCGGGUAAUUGACACGGUCCGGAUUCCCAUUUUCGCGGAUCCGCCGGAAUUUCCCGUCGUCGGCUUAUCGUCACACGCGCCGCGGAUUUUCGCCGCGCGUGUGAAUUUUUCUCCCUUAGCUUUCAUUUUGAAUUCGGGACGCAUUACCGGUGGCGUGUAUCAGAAAUCACAGUUUUGCACGCUUGUAGGAAUUUCAUUUCAAAAGAACGUUAUUUUCUUUAUUGCUUUUUUCCUUUCCUCCCUUUCUCUAUUUUUCACUUUUGUGCUGUACUUUUUUUCUUUACACACAUUUUACCCAGUUUAUAUAACGUUGCUUAUGAUUUUAUAUUUUGUUUUCUCGUUGUACAUUUCUUCAGUUUGUUGUACACUGAAAACGUAAUCGUACUAAAAUUUGUUACAUAGAUGAGCGCAAUAGAAAAACGUGUUUUUUUAAUUGUGCGCUACCGACACUGUAACUAGUACCGGCCACCGGUCUGCUAAUUAAAAUUGUAUCGCAGCGAGGUUCCUUCUUCGGCACGCAAUACGUCUUUCGCAUAGCCAUCUUUGGUCAGCAACAGGAGUCCUAAUGCUUGCCUAGACGCGCCGCUCACGACCUAUGCACUGCACCAUUUCCGCAGAAAUGCUGCCAUUACGUACAUCUGGCUACAUUCGAGCGGUAGCUACAUCCACUGCCGUGUCUGGAAAUUGACAUCGGGUUAAACAUAGCCACGAUAUGCUUCGGAGUUUCUCUCUCUCUCUCUCUCUCUCUCUCUCUCUCUCUCUCUCUCUCUCUCUCUCUCUCUCUCUCUCUUUCUCCCUCUGUCCUUCCGUCUCUGUCUCUGUAGCCGGAGAAGCUACACCAUCUGCAUUAUAGAUCAUGGGACACGAUGUUAUUUCAUGAUAUAAAACACAUUUUUUCAAUUGGUCGUUCAAAGAAACUGAGUCAGUAUAUCUGGGAAAAUUGCAAAUAUAUAACAGAACAAAACAAGUUUAUACGAAGAACGAGAAUCAGAAUAGUGAUAUUAAAUUAUAUUUUGUAAAUCGGCCGUAUGCAAAUUAAUUUUUUAAAAAUUAUUUUUCUUUUUUACGUGUCAAAUUCUAAAAAGAUUGAAUAAGCAACUUAAUAACUUUUAAUAAUUAAAAUUAGUGUCUGUUUUUAGGAUUUGUAACAAUUUCCAAAUAAUAUAUUAAAUAUUGUAUUCUUCUUGAUUCAAAGAGUGCACUUACGACGUUCUUUUAUCGAUUUACGAAAAGUUUCGAGUGACUUUACACCGAUCUGAUAAUUUGACCGAACGCACAUGUGCUUAAAGAAGCCUUUGAAGGCGAUUCCUUUCUCUUUCUCUCUAGCGAUGAACGAUCGAACUAGCCAAAAGUACUUACAUCUUCCGAUCUUGUUCCCUCGCUUUUGUUCCCGCGGACGACUCUGCUUUUCUUCGUGACGGAAUAGAAGACGAAGUACCAAGUGCCACGUGAAUUCCUUCCACCUUUCGUUCCCUGAUCUUGCUCCGGUCGGUAUCUCGGUGAUCCAGAAGGUCGUGUCGAUGGCGCCAUUGGAAGGAUUCAGAAAUCUUCCCCAACGCGAUGGGGGACGAAGGCGAAUUUCCAGGUCAGGAGACCUGAAAUCGCUAUCGUCUUACGAACAGAGGGCUAAGGAUUACAGAUUCAAUGGAUCUCACUGAAUCCGUAUCUUCCGCUUUAGCUUAAACUUUGAAGGCAAAGAGCUUCCGGCGUGCUAUGUAAUUCGGGAUGUAUUUGAGUUAUUAGUUGUAAAUUGUGCGUGAAAUUACCGUCGUGUCUAAUCUUUGCUUAGAAUGAUGAAUUAUCAUAACUAGAAUAUAUAUUCGAGGAUCAUUAAUAGAAGAUGCAUGCGACAAAAGUUUGUAGAAAUUUUUGUUUUAAAAUUUUAUUUAUUUUAUUUAUAGCAUCAAAUAAAUUACGCAUCGAAGUCUUUACUUAAAUAUAAAUUGUAUGUUAAAAUACGGAAGUACAAUUCUUUUUGUUUUAGAGAUUUCAAAUAAGAUAAUUAGAACUUACAUUCAAAUAUUAGAACUUACAUUCUGUGUCAUUUAUAUUCUUUCCAGAUUAAAAGCCAUGAAACGAUCUUAUGAACUAUAUAGGAUUUCAUAUUAGAUUUAUAAAUCCACAUUCGUAGUCUAUAGUUUAAAUUGUCUAAGGAUAUUUCAUCUUGAUGAGGGUCUCAUUUUGGUCAAAUCCGUAAUAGAGUUGAUUAACGAACAGAUCCAAUUAUCCUUGGUGUCUCUGUAUUCUCUAAGCUUGAGAUUAAUAACAGUGCAGAUUAAACAAUUAGUUCUCGUACAUGAAUUAGGUGAAGUUAUUCUAAUAAUAAUUUGGUACCUCCACGAAAAAUAUUAUAUUUAUUUCUGAAUGAAGUAGUGCGAUUAAAAAGAUAACUGUACUUGGAAAAUUGGUUAUUAAAAGUAAUAUUAUUUAUAUAUAAUUAAAUUAUAAUAAUAUAUAUUUAUAACAUAUUACAAAAACAAAUAUUAAUAUAAAUUAUAAAAAGUGUAUUUUUGUUCAUGAAAAGAUUGUUUUUGUAAGUAUUUUAGUGAUAACUUACAUAAAAAAUUACAAUCAAUAAUGCAAUUGGACUUAUAUUUAUUCAGUAUUUUGACUGUUUUUGAUCCAAUCUCAUGGGAAAAGUUCAAUUCGAUCGAUGUAAAUGUAGAAUUUCGUUUCCAUUAAUGUGGACGAGAUUGAGUUCCACUGUUAAACACAGUUAGAUCUUUAGUUAACAUGUUGCUGCAUUCGAAUAAGCUAUGUCAUCCAUCAUUCCUAUGCUUUACGAACAACUCCUUAUGUAGAAAUUAGGUAUGUAUAGAACCAUCUUCUGAAUGUUCGUCAGUCAAGCUUGAAAAUCCUAUCAGGAAGUUGCUAGCACACCUGUUUCAAGUAAUAAUGCUAAACUAUGGUAUUACUAACAAUAAGUUCUUUGAGUUUAAAUAACUUAACAUUUUUUUUAUUAGACUUAUUAACUUGUUUUCUCUACAUAAUGAGAUUAUUUUGUAAUUGAAAUUGCAACUCUGUUAGAAUAAGAAAGUAUUUCAAAAUGAAUAAUAUAAACGUAAUAUAAAUUUUUUUUAAGAAUUAAGGAACAUCUUUUAUAUAACGCUUUACAAAAGAUGUUGAAUGCGCAUUGAUGAUAACGAUUUAUUUCUUCUAUGAAACUAGGUUUUAAGUUAGAAUUUGUCAUAUUAUCCUCAUACAGAUUAAGAAACUUUAAUUUUGGUUCUAAACAAUUGAACAUGAUUUAAGAUUGUAAUAUAUUGUACAUACAUAUCAGUUAUCUUUCGCUGUGCGCUUUACCUUAUCGUAACCGCUUUCUUUUUGGUACAGACAAGACAAUUAAGAUACUCAAUCCUUUUGCGCAUUUAUCGAUGCAUCAGCUAUCCCAGUGUCUUCGAGGAACAUCCACGAUGAUAAUUUACAGGCCACGAUUUAUAACGCAUAAUUCUGGGUCUCGCGUUCGCAUCUUUUCCCAGGCGUUAUCUCAUAACGUACGGAUGCGGAAUUAAAAAGCAGAAGCGGCGAUGAAAGGGAUCUUUCCAUCGAGUUUCACCAGACGGCCCCUCCGGGCGCUCACUCCUUCUUUCACAUACACCCCCGUCGCACCCUUUCUUUCAAUUCUUCAACGUCACCGCCGGCCGAUAAACAUUCGGGCUCGGUUCUCCAAUCGCAUCGAGCGUAAGAAAUGGAAAGUCAUAAGUCUGCGGACGAUCGAUCGCUGCGUUUCCGCUACGGCGCGGCCGUUAAGUCGCUGUCACGACUCGAGCUCGUUUCAGAGAACGAUCGUGCUUAACCCGUCGGACAAAUCGGCGACAUUUUUCAAGAUUUACCGCUUCGUACUCGCGCCCUGAGCAAUGCGUCCGCAUACAUCGCAUGGCAAAGGAUCUUACGUGGAACGUGUUUAUACGAAGCUGUUUGCGGCUCUCAUUAACGCUCUGCCAAAGUCCGCUUAUGGAAUGUGUGUUAUGGGAUAUGGCCGUUAUAGCGUGAGCUACAUCAUGUUACGAUAGGUCAUGUAACUUCGCUACGAGAGCAUGUUGCAUCAUUACGACGCAUCGUUCUAUUGUAUCGCAUGUAAGGUAAUCUAACUCCUCACGCUCUAUUAAAGGCACAGAAAGAAUUGACGAGAUAAAUUUUUCCUGUAGAGCAUUAAUGUAGCGGGGAGAUAUACAUGUAUAUUUAUUUAUUGUGAUCGUAUUUCCUUACUUGUUUAUCUAAUCUGCAAGUUUGUUUUUGUUUGAUUCAUUUAUAACGAUCACUUUAUGUGCCGGUAUACUUACAAUUAGAAUGUAAAUAAAGCGCUUAAUUAUUUUGAUAUAAAAAUAAUUGCAUGAAAAAUAAUACAGCAUAUUUCUGCGUUACUAUUAAUUCUAUUAGAUAGAAAACAAAUUAUUUUAAAAUUUUAUUUUGCAUCUCUCUCGGUUUCUUUUUUUUUUCUUUCUGAUGAUUGUGUAUGAAGCCAACAGUGAUCGCUCGUAUAGAAGAAAAUUGAGAUCUGCAGAACAUAGGCUGAUAGGAAAAAA
rnacentral:lncRNA from 1 species